AUGGAGGAAAAGAAAAAGGAGAAAGAUAAACAAUUUAGUACACAGGUGAUACACAAUGUCAUAUCAGUCAGCGGCUCAUGUGUUUGGGGAUUAGAGGGGAGGAGGAAGUUGUCGUGGGAUGUGGGAGGUCAAGAGAAAGAGUCCUAUCGCCAUGGCGCCGUGAUGCGCCAAGGAGAACGAGAGGUAUUUGGGUUUUCUGUUUUCUAUCUGAUUAAGUCCAGAGCACUCGAAUCGGCCAUGGUCGGAAGCGCCGCGUUUUUCCUCCACACUAGGUGCUUAGUGCUCGAGGAAGGCCAACAUCUUGGCAGCUCAACCACGCUCAAGCCAACAGAAGCUCUGUGCUCGAGCUACAGGCCAUCUUGCCUCCACGGCUCCAUCCCUCUCUCCCAGAGAUCAAACACCACUGCUGCUGCCCUCCAGAUUGUUCUUGCAGCUGCCCUCGAGUUCACUCCCCAGUCACAAUCGAGCACAUCAGCUGCCACCACAGUUGCUGCCGAGAUCGUUCACCAUGUCACCCUCCAGCCCGCCUGCCACUGUACCAUGGUGAUUUCUUGUGCAAAAGGAACGGUAGGAAGAGGGUGUGUGGAGGAGGAAGAAAACAUAAGGGCAAGAGGAAUAAGUGGCAGCAGUUCUAAAGGAGUGGGAGUAACGGAGAUAAACUUUCGAUGCUAUUAAGGGCCUGUUU
rnacentral:lncRNA from 1 species